GGGAUCAUUACCGAGUUUACAACUCCCAAACCCAAUGUGAACGUUACCAAACUGUUGCCUCGGCGGGAUCUCUGCCCCGGGUGCGUCGCAGCCCCGGACCAAGGCGCCCGCCGGAGGACCAACCAAAACUCUUAUUGUAUACCCCCUCGCGGGUUUUUUUAUAAUCUGAGCCUUCUCGGCGCCUCUCGUAGGCGUUUCGAAAAUGAAUCAAAACUUUCAACAACGGAUCUCUUGGUUCUGGCAUCGAUGAAGAACGCAGCGAAAUGCGAUAAGUAAUGUGAAUUGCAGAAUUCAGUGAAUCAUCGAAUCUUUGAACGCACAUUGCGCCCGCCAGUAUUCUGGCGGGCAUGCCUGUCCGAGCGUCAUUUCAACCCUCGAACCCCUCCGGGGGGUCGGCGUUGGGGAUCGGCCCUGCCUCUUGGCGGUGGCCGUCUCCGAAAUACAGUGGCGGUCUCGCCGCAGCCUCUCCUGCGCAGUAGUUUGCACACUCGCAUCGGGAGCGCGGCGCGUCCACAGCCGUUAAACACCCAACUUCUGAAAUGUUGACCUCGGAUCAGGUAGGAAUACCCGCUG
rnacentral:rRNA from 1 species